UCCUAGCCGUAAACGAUACUCGCUAGGUGUCGGCCACGGUGCGACCGUUGUCGGUGCCGUAGGGAAGCCGUGAAGCGAGCCACCUGGGAAGUACGGCCGCAAGGCUGAAACUUAAAGGAAUUGGCGGGGGAGCACCACAACGGGUGGAGCUUGCGGUUUAAUUGGAUUCAACGCCGGAAAUCUUACCGGGACCGACAGCAAUAUGAAGGCCAGGCUGAAGACUUUGCCGGAUUAGCUGAGAGGUGGUGCAUGGCCGUCGUCAGUUCGUACUGUGAAGCAUCCUGUUAAGUCAGGCAACGA
rnacentral:rRNA from 1 species